ACCCGUAGCAGAGUCCCCUGCUGAAGAGGAGGAAGCAGAGUCCCCUUCCCAAGAAGAAGAAGCAGAGUCUCCUUCUGAAGAAGCAGAGUCUCCUUCCGAAGAUGAUGAUGAUGCCGAUUCACCAGCACCCUCACCGAAUGCUGAUUCACCUCCAGCUGAUGCUGCACCACCACCAUCAUCAGCUGGAAAAUUGAAGGCUUCCUUUGGUUUAUUUGUUGUUUUGGCAUCAGUGGUUGCUGCUUAUUAAAAGGGGGGGUUUCCAAAAAAAAUAAAUAGCAAUGGGUUGGAAAUAUAUGAAUUUUAUUUCUACAUUAGGG
rnacentral:lncRNA from 1 species